rnacentral:rRNA from 1 species
CCUACGGGUGGCAGCAGUGAGGAAUAUUGGUCAAUGGGCGGGAGCCUGAACCAGCCAAGUCGCGUGAGGGAAGACGGUCCUAUGGAUUGUAAACCUCUUUAGGCGGGGAGCAAUGCCGGGCACGUGUGCCCUGAGGGAGAGUACCCGCAGACUAAGCAUCGGCUAACUCCGUGCCAGCAGCCGCGGUAAUACGGAGGAUGCGAGCGUUAUCCGGAUUUAUUGGGUUUAAAGGGUGCGUAGGCGGAUUUUUAAGUCAGCGGUAAAAGGUCCGGGCUCAACCCGGGCCGGCCGUUGAAACUGGGGAUCUUGAGUGGGCGAGAAGUAGGCGGAAUGCGUGGUGUAGCGGUGAAAUGCAUAGAUAUCACGCAGAACUCCGAUUGCGAAGGCAGCAUACCGGAGCCCGACUGACGCUGAGGCACGAAAGCGUGGGGAUCGAACAGGAUUAGAUACCCGGGUAGUC